UGGGAAUACUGUCUGAAAUAAAUGUGUCUGGGCACAUUGGUAUUGCCGGAUAACACGAGCAGAUUUUCAAACAGAUCCAAAUGCAUGUGGACCUCAGCGCACUCCUGAAAACUACCAAUCUGCAGUAGACAUUUUACAGUCUGAGGGACAACAAAACGUUGAAGAAAUGGAUGAUUCAGAGCUAAACAUUUCAAACAUUAG